AUCCAUCUGACGUGUCCCAAAUAAGACGAAACGUGCUUCCUGUAU
rfam:Schistosoma mansoni strain Puerto Rico chromosome 2, complete genome